UUCUCAGCUGGGAGUGGGAGUGACUUGUGAUGAUUAAACAAGUAAUAAUAUAUUAUCAUAUGUCAACAUGAUUCUUUUUUAUUUAUUUAUUUAUUUAUUUUUUUACUGGGAAUGUAAACUGUUUUCCUGCAAUCAGAGUUGAUCAUAGGGGAAAAAAUGCAGAAGCAAUGGUCCUGGAACAUUUGUGGGAAGUGAAGUGCUGGAGGCAAAGUUCCUUGCACAAGAGAUGAAGGACCUUGGUCCUCAAAUUUGGCUGAGGAAAGAGUGAUGGCUGUGAAAGAAGAAAAGAAUCAGACAGGCAUAACAGCAUUAUAUAAAAAGCAGAUGAGCAGACUCUCCAAGGGAGAGAGAAAGGAAACAGUUCCGUGAUUCUGUGACCUGAUGCUGUUAAGUGGGAAGCCCUCAGACCAAUCAACUAUGCUGUUCACUAGAAAUCAUUGUUCCUUUUCAACACUCAAGGAGACACAUGAACAACCAGGAAUGAACAACCCUUUUCACUGUUAACCGCCAAGAGACAACAGACAUCUUUUUCAAGCUGAUCAAAUGAUUUGAAUUUUUCAGGUGAGACCCAUGCCUGGAGACAUUCAUGAUUUCCUCUGAAAAAUUAUGAGAAGAGGUUGGAGUUAUACAAGACUGCAGAAAUAUUGUGAUGUCUUUCCUCAAGAAGAGAAAUACAGACGGAAAGAAAAAAACAGACUCUGACAUUAAGUAAGAGUGACUGAGUAGUCACGAAGCAGACCUGCAACAGUGGCUGUGUCUGCCCACAGGAGAGGAUCACUGGUGUAAGAAGCAAUUUUGUGUGGAUCCCCUGAUCUGCCAGGCUGGGGCACCAACCACAUCACACUCUAGCCUUCUUCCAACAAAGGCUGCUGCCUUGCCUUUGCAUGGCCUGCAGAGGCGGGAAAGAAAAGGUGGGGGGGGGCAUAGUGUACUAAAAGUAGCUGAGGAGGUACACAGUUAGGAGAGCUGGGAGCCCUCCAGGCUCCACAGUAUUGGUGUGGAGGAGAAUGCUGUGUUCACAGCAAGUGAAGUGCAGACAAAGCCAGUCUAUAUUUCAUACCUGUAAGUCAGUUAUAGACAGCAUUGGACCCCUCAUCGUGACCAUUUUGAACUGUAAACACAAGGCAUGGUGUCUGAAUUAUUUAUGCCUUGAAGCAAUACUAAAAUCAAAAUGGAUUUAUCAAGAACAAAUGAUUUCAGAUCCAUUUAAUUUCAUUCUUGGAAGAGGUAACAGCCCUUGUGUAUAAGAAGUAAAUUGUAGGUGUGAUAUUACUUGGCUCUAUUAACAGUUUUCAUGUCAUUAUGUAAUAUUUUCUUAAGCAACGAGGGAAAUGUGGUCAAUAAGAAAUAGUCAGAUAUGAUGCACAGUUAGCUGAAGGAAAAUCAGAGAACAGCUGUCAUUGGUUUGGUGUCAAAAUGGAAGGAAAUAUGAAGUGAGAGUUUUUCCUACACCUAAAACUGUUCAAAUUUCUCUAUUUACUAAAAGGUUUUGUGCUCUAAAAACAUGUAUAUUUUUCCCAAAAUGGUUUGCCAAAAAUGAUGGCAAAAUGAGAAAUCUGUAGGACAGACAGAGAACUCAAAAUUAACUUAUCAUAUUAGAGACACUGUCUGAAAAGGAUACUGUUCACUAGGGAUCAGUGCAAAAUGUUUAGUUAGGUUCAUCUUACCUAAACUUUGACAGUUUGUGAUCUAGUCUAAUACAGUCAAGGAGAGUCAACAUCCCCAAAGUCCUUGAUGUUGAAAAAUUAGCAAAAAUAAUUUACUGUUUUGAUUAGAGCAAAAGUAAAAUGUCACAUUUAGACAACAACCACUACAUGGUUUGCAGAUGCAUUGACUAUGAAACUACAAUAUCAUACAGCUCUGUAUAAAGCAAAAAUAUGAAAUAUAUUUUUUCUUUACGUAGACACUAAAAGAAACUCUAUUGAAGCACUAUGUCCAUUUCUGGCACUUGGUCUUUGAGAAAGAGGUGGAUCAGCUGAAGAAAUCAAUGAAAAAUAGAGUAAGAAUGAUACCUGAAAUAACAUAAUGUAUGAAAGAGAGUCAAAGGAAUGUGAGAUGUUUAGGGAGACAGAGGCUAGAUGGUUGUUAAUAUGAAGAAGGGAAUAGAUGGUUCCUCAUUGCAAACAUGUAAGAGGUGGUGGGGUAAAAUCUAUAUAGAAAGAUUUAGAUUGGUAUUGGAGAGAUAAAAGGCAGGAACAUCAACAUAUUGUUGAACAGAGCAUAGGGAGAUGGUGGAUCCUUCAAGGUUUAAAAACAGGGUAGAUGAACCACAGUUAAGAAUGACACUGUUUUGUUGGUCCUCUUUUAGAGAAGAGGAAUUAACCACAUGAUUUGCUGAGCUCCCUGUAGGACUUAUUUUCUGUGAUCUCUCAUUCUCAGAGCUUUCUCAUUUUUCUUAAGGGAGUGAUAGCAGUGUUGGAUAUGUAAUAAAUGUGCCUAAGAAAGUACAAAGUUGCCCAACACAAAUGCGAAAGAUCGAUCGAUAGACAUUGAUUAUUUUCUCAUGUCUACAGCCUUGGACAUGUUGUGUUAGUGAAACAAUUCUAUUUUGUCAUUGAAUGACAAGUAAAUCAUACCUGGUUUCAGUAAUAACCCUGCAGAUUGUACUAUCAUUUCAGAGAGAAUUAUUUAUAUCCUCAGAGAUGUUAUUUAUACCCAAAGCCCUCUGAUGAUGUCAGUUGGCAUCAAAACACAUACAAGAUGUACCACAUAUACAAGAUAUACAAGAUACACAGGAUGUGCCUUGUGGACCCAUGUGCUGUGCCAUUUACAAGGAAAAUGGAUAGGAAUUAAGUGUUUAGGGAUAGAUGGUAUUUCAAUAGGGUGAAUUCUCUAACCAACUCCAUACUAGUAAACCUUACUGAUAUGGCUUCUGGUAGAAAUUCAUUUAGAGCACUGAAAUAACAAUAUCAGCUAUGUCAGUAUUGAACCGCCUUUGCCUUUUCAUCAGCAAAUUAGAAAUUGCAUGGAUUCAUGCUUACUGGCAAGGAGUGUUUUUUGAUAUCGUGCAGAAGUCAAAAGUCACUCUUUAUUUAGAGCAAUAGUAAUCUCCACUUCUGAAGACUUUCACAUAUAGUAAAAGUAAGAAAGAGGUUAUAUUCUUCUUCUGUUUCUGUAUUAUUCUUCUGUAUCUGCCUUGAGAUACCAGCAUAGCCACAUCCUACUUUGCUAGUUCCCUGUCUUAACACUGGAGUUUGGCUCUCAUCAGACCUUCUGCACUCUGCUGGGAAUAAAGGAGAAUCUAUUUCAUUUCCUCCACAUAUUUCUGUCUUCAAACUGAAGACCUCAGAACUGCCCAGCUGUGGGUCAUGCCAAAAUGCAUUAACAUUUUUGUUAAUGCAUUUAUGUAAUGUAUGUUAAUGUAUGUGAACAGUAUAUACAUGUGUGGAAGGCAUCAGGCAUCUUAUAUCCAGUGCCAGAGUGAAACAUCUUGGGAUGUCUGUGUCAGUAUAACUGUUUUCUGCUCUCUUGAUUGCCCUGUGGACAAUCUAGUGCCUAACUUGUACGGCAUGCCUAGCUUCACAUACUUAGACAUGUAAGACUCCCUGCAGCUCAUCUGGUGAAAAAGAUACACUAAUUACAUCCUGACAGGAAUCUUGGGGUACCCUUAACAGAUACAGUCUGAGAUGGUCAUCAAUAUAGUCACAGAGAUUUCAGUUUCAGAAGAUAAAAGAGACCUGUUACCAGUCAAGGCAGAGAAAACAGUAACUUCAGUUGUUCUGGGACAGACUAUUUUAUUUUAUUUUAUUUUAUUUUAUUUUAUUUUAUUUUAUUUUAUUUUAUUUUAUUUUAUUUAUUUAUUUUCUGGAUAUUUACUUAGUGUCACUUCUCUAGCCACACCAAUCUGAAAAGGUGUCAAAAUGCUGUACAAAUUAGUCACUGAAAAAAUUAAGCCCUGUAGUGAAAAAAAAAAAAAAAGCAUCAACAGUUCAUCCUUAGGAAUGAAGACAACUAAAAGUAACUUAUUAUGUUGAAAAUAACAGCAUAAUUACAACCAUAGAAAUAAAAUAGCUUUUGAGAAAAAAAAACACAUGAUAACACCAUGUUUUUUCUGAUGGGCCACUGGCAUAAGAUAUUUUGUCAUAAUAUAUAAUUUUUCAAAUGCAAAUGAAAUGUAUACAUAGUAAUUAACAAAAAGAAAUCAUGAACACAUAUUUAAUAAUAAAAAUAUCAGAUUCCUACAGAAUAUAGUUAAUUUUUGUUCAAUUUACAAAACUGGUUAUGUGCUAGCAGUUUUCUUUGAAAACUUUGACAAAGAAAUAUAUUUUCUUUUUCAGCUCUGUACAGAUAUGUUUUCACAUAAAUGCUCUUUUAUUUUAUAAUUUACUUUUUUUCCACUAUCCUUUUGAGGACCCAAGAAAAUAAGAACGGGAUUCUAAGGGUUUCUGGAAAGAAAACUCAAACAGGAAAUACUAGCUUUUUCUGAGUCUGAGCCAACUAAAAAUAGUCUCAGCAUUUGUGGAUUUUUUUUUUUCAUGUCUUUCUUUCUUUCUCUCUUUCUUUAAGUAAUUUAUUUAUUUUAUAUCUUCUUUUCCUUAUACUACUAUUUUGUCUUUAAGCCUUUAUUAGAAUGCAUGGGUUCAGCAAACUACUUCAAAACUCAACUCAGAGAAGCAAGAGAGGUACAGAAUUCUCUUCUUGGAAGUAGUAGAGAUGCUCAGAUCACUGAGAUUGUACAAGUAAUAUAGCACACUCUCACAAAAUAAGUCUGAAAACAUGUUUGGGUAUGUAAAUUUCUACCAACAUAAACUUACAAUGUCAUUUGUUCAAGCAGAGGACAGGACAGCAAUACCCCGGGAUAUCAUUGUUGGACAACAAUACUGACCUAUACUGUUCCCUAGGGCUUCUUGUGCUACCCCAGGGAAACCACUCUGAAGUUCCCUGUCCUCAGCUGUCCAUUGGUUAAAUAUAAUGUUGGCACACAGAGCUCUUGCCAGAUGAAAAUUUGAGGUACUGUGUGAUACAAUAUUAAAAUGACUCUGUAAAAGUACCUCUAAAGGAAUCUGUUUUCUAAAUUAUGUGCUGUAAGCUUUAAAUAAAUUUGAAGCUUUUGAUGAGAAGUCAGUAUGUAAAGGCAAUUGCAUUACUUUCUGAUCACUGAUGUUUUUCUAGCAGAAAUUCAUCAUAUUUCAAUCAAUGACCGUCUAGUCAAGAGCAAACAUCUUAGAAAUUUUAAUGGGAAAGGUAUUUUGCUUUAUAAGACAAUCAUAAUAAAAAGGCUUUUUUUUUUUUUUUUUUUUUUAAUUUAAAGCAAAAUUAUAGCAAAAAUUGAUUAUUUUGGGGGUAAGAUAUAGCUUAGAGACAGAGGGAAGAAAGAUUAUGGUUUUCCACUUUAAAAUGUAGAAGAAUAUACUUUAAGAACUGUUGGCACUAAAGAGGCAUUAGUACUUCGUCCAGUAGAGAGAAACAAGUACUUUGCCAAAUCUGGAUGUCUGGGUUCAGAACCAUGUAUUCAGGUUCUGGUGCAUUCAAAUUUCACACAUUAUGGAAUUUUUUAAGGUCAUUUAAAAAAUUCUGUCUGUUUCUUCAAUUAAAUUCAUAUUUUUGAAUACUUGCUGGUGGAAUUAACACACAUUAAUCUGACAAGGUUAAUUUCUUCUAUUAUUAUUAUUAUUAUUUAUUUUUUUUUGGAGUCUACUUUCUUACCUGGUAGUAGUAGAGCUCUGGAAUAAAAAAAAAAAAAUAAAAUAAAAAAACAAAACAAACAAACAAACAAAAAACUUUAAAAAUAAAAGUAGGCUGUAGGAAUGUUAUAAUGUGUUAUUGUUGAAUUGCUGUAUAAAAGGUUAAAAAAGCACAUUUAUGGAAAAGAAAAUCAGAAGUCACAUGUGACAAUAAUAUGGAAGUAAAAUUUUGCAUUAUAUACCUACUUGAAGACAUUUUAUUUCUCUGUUAUUUAAAUGCUUAAUUUGAUACUAUUGUGGCCAUAAUGACAGUAAAAUGAAUAUUAGAUAACAGUUAUUUCAUGUGAAAUGGGAUAUCUUCUUGGAACCUUAAAUGUCUUUUAUCUUUUAAGAUAUUAAAGAAAUUGCAGACUCA